rnacentral:misc_RNA from 1 species
GAUGAAGAACGUAGCGAAAUGCGAUAAGUAAUGUGAAUUGCAGAAUUCCGUGAAUCAUCGAAUCUUUGAACGCACAUUGCGCCCCCUGGCAUUCCGGGGGGCAUGCCUGUCCGAGCGUCAUUUCUGCCCUCAAGCCCGGCUUGUGUGUUGGGCGUGGUCCCCCCGGUUUAGGGGGGUCCUGCCCGAAAGGCAGCGGCGACGUUCCGCCUAGGUCCUCGAGCGUAUGGGGCUUUGUCACCCGCUCGGGAGGGGCCUACGGGCGUUGGCCAUCCACCAUUUUUUUUUUUACGGUUGACCUCGGAUCAGGUAGGAGUUACCCGCUGAACUUAAGCAUAUCAAUAAGCGGAGGA